AACUGAAAAUAACACACCCAGAACCAAGAAGACCUGACAAACCCAGAACCAAGAACUGAAAACAACAAACCCAGAACCAAGAAGACCUCACAAAUCCAGAACCAAGAACUGAAAACAAUAAAACCAGAACCAAGAACUGAAAACAACAAACCCAGAACCAAGAAGACCUGACAAACCCAGAACCAAGAACUGAAAACAACAAACCCAGAACCAAGAACUGAAAACAACAAACCCAGAACCAAGAAGACCUUGUAUAUCUGGACCCGUAUAUAAUAACUAAGUGGUAUAAUUAAGCAAUAAGGUCAGAGGGGCCGUGGUAUAUUGACCAUAUACUACAAGCACGAGGGCCUUAUUGCUAUUAUAAACUGGUUACCAACAUAAAUAGAAAGUAAACAAAUUUGUUGGUGUCAUACCAGUGUUCUAUUUUCUGAAAUACUGUAUGUGAAAUGAAAUGCUUAUUCAGCCAAUCAGCAUCCAGGACCUAAACUACCUGGUUUAUAAUAGUAUCUAGUAAUAUACAGUGCAUUCAGAAAGUAUUCAGACCCCUUGACUUUUUCCACAUUUUGUUAUGUUACAGCCUUAUUCUAAAAUUGAAUAGAGUUUUUUUCCCCUCAUCAAUCUACACACAAUACCCCAUAAUGACAAAGCAAAAACAGGUAUUUAGAAAGGUUUGCAAAUUGAUUAAAAAUGUUCUUUACAUUG